rnacentral:rRNA from 1 species
GCUCAGGAUGAACGCUAGCUACAGGCUUAACACAUGCAAGUCGAGGGGCAGCAUGGUCUUAGCUUGCUAAGGCCGAUGGCGACCGGCGCACGGGUGAGUAACACGUAUCCAACCUGCCGUCUACUCUUGGACAGCCUUCUGAAAGGAAGAUUAAUACAAGAUGGCAUCAUGAGUCCACAUGUUCACAUGAUUAAAGGUAUUCCAGUAGACGAUGGGGAUGCGUUCCAUUAGAUAGUAGGCGGGGUAACGGCCCACCUAGUCUUCGAUGGAUAGGGGUUCUGAGAGGAAGGUCCCCCACAUUGGAACUGAGACACGGUCCAAACUCCUACGGGAGGCAGCAGUGAGGAAUAUUGGUCAAUGGGCGAGAGCCUGAACCAGCCAAGUAGCGUGAAGGAUGACUGCCCUAUGGGUUGUAAACUUCUUUUAUAAAGGAAUAAAGUCGGGUAUGCAUACCCGUUUGCAUGUACUUUAUGAAUAAGGAUCGGCUAACUCCGUGCCAGCAGCCGCGGUAAUAAGGAGGAUCCGAGCGUUAUCCGGAUUUAUUGGGUUUAAAGGGAGCGUAGAUGGAUGUUUAAGUCAGUUGUGAAAGUUUGCGGCUCAACCGUAAAAUUGCAGUUGAUACUGGAUAUCUUGAGUGCAGUUGAGGCAGGCGGAAUUCGUGGUGUAGCGGUGAAAUGCUUAGAUAUCACGAAGAACUCCGAUUGCGAAGGCAGCCUGCUAAGCUGCAACUGACAUUGAGGCUCGAAAGUGUGGGUAUCAAACAGGAUUAGAUACCCUGGUAGUCCACACGGUAAACGAUGAAUACUCGCUGUUUGCGAUAUACUGCAAGCGGCCAAGCGAAAGCGUUAAGUAUUCCACCUGGGGAGUACGCCGGCAACGGUGAAACUCAAAGGAAUUGACGGGGGCCCGCACAAGCGGAGGAACAUGUGGUUUAAUUCGAUGAUACGCGAGGAACCUUACCCGGGCUUAAAUUGCAGAUGAAUUACGGUGAAAGCCGUAAGCCGCAAGGCAUCUGUGAAGGUGCUGCAUGGUUGUCGUCAGCUCGUGCCGUGAGGUGUCGGCUUAAGUGCCAUAACGAGCGCAACCCUUGUUGUCAGUUACUAACAGGUUCUGCUGAGGACUCUGACAAGACUGCCAUCGUAAGAUGUGAGGAAGGUGGGGAUGACGUCAAAUCAGCACGGCCCUUACGUCCGGGGCUACACACGUGUUACAAUGGGGGGUACAGAGGGCCGCUACCACGCGAGUGGAUGCCAAUCCCAAAAACCUCUCUCAGUUCGGACUGGAGUCUGCAACCCGACUCCACGAAGCUGGAUUCGCUAGUAAUCGCGCAUCAGCCACGGCGCGGUGAAUACGUUCCCGGGCCUUGUACACACCGCCCGUCAAGCCAUGGGAGCCGGGGGUACCUGAAGUGCGUAACCGCGAGGAGCGCCCUAGGGUAAAACUGGUGA